rnacentral:rRNA from 1 species
GGAUCAAAUUGUUGGUCGUGCCUUGGUACGUACUGGCAUUAUUGGUUUCUCCCUUCUGAAGAACCAUGAUGUCAUUAAUUUGGUGUUAUGGGGAGUUAGGACUGUUACUUUGAAAAAAUUAGAGUGUUUAAAGCAGGCUCGCGCUUGAAUACAUUAGCAUGGAAUAAUGAAAUAGGACGUUUAAUUCUAUUUUGUUGGUUUCUAGGAUUGACGUA